rnacentral:lncRNA from 1 species
AAAAAAGUUGUUUUGAUUCAAAAUUCAAUUUCAUUGGCCUGCAUUUUGUAAUUUUCUUCAACCUUAAUUUCUUGGUAUUAGUAUCUAGAAUAGGAAAAUUUCACUAAACCCUAUUUAGAAGAGGAGAUAAAAGACUAGAAUGAACAAAUAUUCUAAAGGGUGUCCAAAUUUGAUAUCAUUUGAUCAAAGAAAAAGUUAUUUUUGAACAGGAGAAUGUAUGUUAAAUGGUCCAAACUUGAAAAAAAAAAUUAAAAAAAAACCAGGAAAAUAACAACUAAUAUUUGAACUAGUGGCUACAAAGAGACAAGAGGAAAUAUCUGAGCGAGAUUCGCAAGGACAUGGUUAGAAAGAGUCCAUGCUUUGGAAAUUUGGAUUGGAUUAUUACCAUGGCAGCAGUACAGAGAGGAAAUUGGAUUUGGAAUUUUGCAGAGAGAGGAUGAAUUUGGUUUGGUAUAUUGAAGAGGGGGAGAAGAAAGUUGCCCACUUGCCCCAAUAAGAAAAAAUGAAUGCCCUGUGGACUAGGGACAAAGGGUUGAAUUUUGUGGCUCAACCAACCCCACAUAAAUUUUACUUUGCUCAUCUUUGUAUUGAAUUUUUGGCAACUUCAUCUUCCAGUGCUCUCCAAUAAUGCAAGCAAAUUCAGAAGAGGUUCAUUUUUCUGUCCUCUUCUAAUAAUGCAGAAGUAAUUCACCUUCUAUGGUAACUGCUAAAUUCUAAGUCAGACAAUUUAAUUAUGCUCCAUAAUGGCCACAGUGGGUAUCUGAGAAAAGCAAAGAAAGGGAAGCAGUUGAAGUUAGACUAGAAUCUACGGCAGUGGAUGGAGUUGGCUGAGGAGAGAUUUUGUGAUGAAAUUGUAAAUGAAAUAGCAGGAAAUAAAUAAAAAAAAAAACAAAAUAAAGCCCUUUACUUCCAACAAGACAAAGCCACAACACAGAAUUUUGUUCAAGCAUAAGCAAACAAUGAAAGAGAAAACUAGGAAAAGAUAAGCAUGAAGUGGAUUAAAAGAAAAGUGCUUAAGGGAGGAAUACAAAAAGCUUCCUAUUUCCAUAGAGAUGGUAUCUACAAUUUCAUGCCCUCAUACAUAUCAAUAACAACCUCCAUAAUUAUUCUUCCAAUUCCGAUCACUUCUCCUCCUUCCAAAUUCUUUUUCUUCACCCCCAAAAACAGUGGAAGAAGGUAUCAAAAUGGCUCUGCAAAUCAUACAUGAGUGGUGCUCCUGAAUGACCCAAGAGCCUUGACAGCUCCAGCUCUCAAUAUGAACUGGUGGUAGAAGGCUGCAAUGGCUGCACCAAUGAAGGGUCCAACCCAAAAGAUCCACUGCAACCCAAAAAGGAAAAAGGAAAAUACAUUAGACACCCAUCAUGGUGAUAGAUUGACAGUGAUAAUAGGUAGCCAUGGGGGAGGGGAAUAUACUAACCUGGUCAUCCCAGGCCUUCUCAUUGUUGUAGAUAACAGCAGCCCCCAAACUCCUGGCAGGGUUGAUACCGGUGCCAGUGAUAGGAAUAGUGGCCAAGUGAACCAUGAACACGGCAAACCCAAUUGGAAGAGGUGCCAGAACCUUAAAUCCAAAAUAGCCCAGAAUACAAACAUACAUCAAUAUUUUCCUUACACCAUUAGCAAAUGCAGAAAAUCACAAAGACCCAGUUUUAGAUUAGUCUAAUACCCCCUUUUUCAACUAACACCAACAUAAUCAGCUCAACUAGGAAAAAGAAACAGAAAAAAAUAAUGCUCCAUAUCCCAAGCAAGAGUUGAAUCUAGUGCCUUAUUUUCACAAAAAUACAAGACAAAAUCAGGAUUCAAGUGGAUUGAAUAGGAUAGUGGGGGUGGUUUAAACAUGCCAGACUCAGCCUAUCAAGUGUUUUUGGACUUUUUUGUGGGUAUAGCCGUUACAGGGCCCCCACACUUGACGUUAAAAGCACAUCACUAAAAUACAGGCACAGACCACAGACUCAGAAUACAGCAAAGCACUGGACCCUUCAUGAAGGAAAAAAAAUAAUGUGUUUAAAGUAAAAGCCACCUUUUGGCAACAAAACAAAAACUACCCAUGUCCAUCAACAGUGCCUCCCUCAACCACAUCCACACAUCCUCCCAUCAUGCUAAGAAUUAAGCCGCCCAACGCCUCAGCCACAUUUUUUCUAACUCAAGAACAUCUCUCCUGUCCCUUUUUCUAUGAAUAAGGGCACAAACAUUACUUAAUAAUAUCUACUCAAGAUUCUAACAAUAAUCAUUCACACCAAUUUUGAUUGUAAACAAAAAUUGGAGGAAAAAAAAAAUUCAACUCACAGGAACAUGGGAGUCUCUGGCACUCCUCUUGGGGUCAGUUGCAGAGAAGACGGUGUAGACAAGGACAAAAGUUCCAAUGAUCUCAGCGCCCAAGCCGGUGCCUUUGCUGUAGCCGGUGGAGAGCUCGUUGGCACCGCCCCCGUAGCGAUCAUAGUAAGCAGAUUGGAAGGCUUUGACGAGACCCACACCGCAAAUGGCUCCAAGACACUGAGCCACCAUGUACAAUAUUGCUCGGAUCAGCGACACCUUCCGGGCCAGGAACAGCCCAAAGGUCACCGCCGGGUUAAUGUGUCCCCCUGCGCAUUUUACAGAACUAUCGGUCAGCAUGUGCUACCUUGCGCCAUGCCAUUUACAUUAAGAUGAAUCUUUUGAUUUAAGGAAAAACCAUGAGAAAGGGGAAAGAGUAAAUCAAUUUCAUCUCAUUUAUUCUAAAUUUUUAGCAUGAAAAGAAUCAAAACUUUCUGGGUGGGAAGGAAAUUACAUAAAGCUGAUUGAAAAAGUAGUUUUUUUAAGAGAAGGUUCUCCAUCACGAUCGGAGAAAGAGACCCAUACCAUCUGUUUGGUGAGAAGGAAAACUAGAAAAAGGAUAACAGAAGUAAAAAAUUUAUGCUUAUUUUUCGGUUUGGGGCCCAAAGGAAGGGGUAAGGCAACUCCGGCCAAUAGUUGAGUUGAAGCUUUUUACACUUUAGGAAACAAAGCCAACACUAUUUUCCAAUUAUUUCUCAGAAACCAAACGUCAACUCCAUCAACUACCUCCUUCAAGUGAACCUUUCCAGCAGAAUUAUUUAUCAAGGGAAAAAAAGGACCAAAAAGAAAGAAAGGAAAGAAAGGAAAAAAAGCUAUGAAGUUCUAACAGAUCCUUUCUUUCUUUCCCUUUUUUUUUUAACUUCACAAAGAAAUGGUCAUAACAAUAAAUGAAUCCUUGAAAGAGAAAGACAAAGAGGGAAAAAGAGAGAAAGAAAACCAGUUUUCUAACUGAUGUUUUCAGGGUUUUUUUUUCUUUUCUUUUUUUUUUUUUUGUUCUCGAGAAUCAAAAAGAGUGCAUGAAAACAAAAGAAAAAAGAACAACCCAGAAGAGAGAAAACUGACCAGAAAUGCCGGCAGUGCAGUAAACAAGGAUAAAGAUCAUGCCACCAAAAGACCAAGCAAUGCCCAGAAUGCCAACACCACCGCAUGGGUCACCCCCGGCAGUCUGGCUCUUGUAGCCGAUGACUGUCAGCACCGUAAUGUAAAGGAAGAGCAGCGUGGCAAUGAACUCCGCAAUCAGAGCCCUGUAGAAGGACCACUUAGUGAGCUCAACUGAGUCGAACAGCGGCGCCGGCGGCGGGUCAUGAUAGUCCUUGGCGGAGAAGGACCCAUGCUCCGCAACCUCAACGUCCUUAGUCAUAAAUGUUAUAGCAGAAAAACACUAGGCAAAGAGAAGAGCUAGGGGGGUUCAGGAGAAGGUAGGUGAAGGUGGGAGAAGUUGAGAGUAGAGCGUGGAGACUGAGAGGAAGGGAAGGGCCGUAUUUAUGGGGAAGAAAGAGGAGUGUUGAGGUGGAAUUGGGCUGGGCUGCCUUCUUGUUCACUGUAACCCCUCUGCAAUGGUAA